rnacentral:lncRNA from 1 species
CUAAAACUAUCUAACCGAGUACAGCAAGCAAACAACUUGGGUCGUGGCAGAAAGGACGACGAGAAUGGUUUUAUUAUUCAAAUACAAUUACUUACUUAAAGGGGUGGUUCAUCUAAAAAUACUUUUAACCUCAUUAGAGCAUUAGCCUUUACCAGAGACAGUUUUUAGGUUAGUUGGAUCAGUAUUUAGACUUCUGCAAUUUUAUUUCAAAAUGCGACAUUUACGAUUUUAUCUAGAAUGUGUAAAAAAUAUCCUCACUUUAUGCAACAAAUAUUGUCUCGUCAUUGAAUUGCCCAAAACCUAUGUUUUGCUUUAAAACAUGUUACAAAAAUCGACCUACUAGAGCUAAUGUUUUCUUCAGAUUUGUGUCAUCUGGUUGAUACUCUUCCUCUUGAUUCAAAGAUUUGUAAUUAAGUUCUGACUCUGACCCAAAUCGCGGCUCGGCGCAGAUUAAUCAUAAAUGACUUCCUGGAUUUUAAUGAAAAAAUUACUGAUAUCAUUUGGAAAUAUUAGGCUAGGUAAAUAUUUUAGCAAAGCAAUCUUAUCGAGAUUUUAACUACAAGGGCUAUUGCAGUGAUUGGAGGCACCGGUUGUGUCUUUCGAAGGUAUUUAUGACAACUUUGACAUUAAAUGGGGUUUCUAUGGGAGAGGGAAAUGUAGAAUUCGCUGAUGAGCUAAACUAAAUACUGAUCCAACCAACAUAAAAACUGUCUCUGGUUAAGGCUAAUGCCUAGGAAAAUGUUCUAGCCAGAUGAAAUUUAUUUUUCGAUGAACCACCCCUUUAACAUAGUUGAUGAAAACAUUAAACAAGGCAAUAUAACAGUUUACAUUUCAAGAUAAUACUUUAUGAACAAAGCAUUUAUCUAAACAUGAAUCUGAGAGAUAGGCAGAGAACGUAGCUUGACUCAAAUCUAAUAUACUGUACUUAGAAAGGGGGGAGAAAGAUGGAAGGGGAGAGUGACAAAGCGAGGGAGACAGAGAGAAAGAAGGAGAUAAGAGUUGUAUAGUUGCCACUAGGGCUCAGGGAUAGGACUACAUCCAUCGUCAAUUGCAACGACGUGACAAUGUCAAAAACAAUGUUUUGUUAAAUUUGUAGUCAACUCGAGAAAUUCUGUUUUCAGAAACUUUUUACAAUAGCGGAUAAUGUUAAUAAUCUAUUCAUAUUUGUGUUCUGCAAAGUCCUAAUAUUGGUAAUAAUAAUGGUUUUGUUCGAAUACUCGGCACACCCCUAUUAAAGACAUACUGGGGACGAUUGCGCUAACAAGGUGGAACUGGGUGUUAAACUCCAGGCGAACAUUAUCACUCGACUGAGCAAAGAACCAUCAAAGUGCAUUUCUGAGCUCAUGACAGCUCUAUUUCCCAGAGACGUGAUGGCCGUCUCUUGACAGAAAAAAAACUGAAUGCAUUCCGGGACCCGGAGGCAAAGAAACAGCUGUGCCCAACCAAAGUGUGCCAUUUGCACCUUUUUAAUUUGGCGAAACCUGAUGGAGGAGAAGGAUGUCUUAAAAAUUAUUUGAUCGAAGCUUAACAAUGAGCCAGAAUUGCUUAAGAAGUCCAAGAUUUAGGUUUAAAACUGCUUUUUUUUUACUCAAAGGGAGUAACUUGGAGGCUAAGGCCUAACUAUUUGGUUUGUUAACUCAGUGAAAAAGUAUUCAAGUUGAUCAUUUUUCAAAUAUGAUGUCCUCGUAUCUGUCAACUUCUUAACGUACACAGAACAUUUUUUUUUUCAAAAGUGUACUGUAGUUAUUGCUAUAGUAUAAGAAGAUGUUAUAGUAUUCCUUUAAGGUUACCAUAGUUAUUCUAUAUUAUGUCCGAAUUUACCAAAAGAAUACUAUAGAAGUUUUUCUGUGAUAUUUACAUAAUAUUGUUCUAUACUAAUCUUAUAGGAUCACAGUAAUAUUGCUAUAGUUAUUGCUAUAUUUUACUAUAAGAUUACUAUGGUUAUUCUAUAGUAUGUCUGAAUUUACCACAAGAAUACUGUAUGUUUUUUAGUGACAUUUGUAUAAUACUCUUUUAUAGUAAUCCUAUAGUGCUUUUUUGUAAGGGAUAGUCCAUGCCCGAUGAAUUGAGGUUGUUUAGAGGGCAAAGGGGGUCAAACUCAUGAGGUAUUCCUAAUGUUUUGUAAACUGAAUGUGUAUUUUCGUCUCCAAUGUUCAUAGGCAAAUUAUUACAUUUGUACAAUGAGCACUUCUCUCAAAUAUGUCAUUAGUUGUUAGUUAGCAAGCCAGCUAGCUAAUUUUUGCCAUAUUAGCAUUGACAUGAAAUCAGUCAGAACACCUCAAAACAAAUAUCAAGAACAAGACGAAACAAGUAAAAUUGUGGGGCUUGCUUUAGCUCUUUACAAGUAUUUUAUAUACAAAAAUAUAAACACAAAAGGUAAAGUGUUGUUCCCAUGAGGGGUCUUUGGCCUGGUUUGCUAACUACCUCUCUCAAAAAGUGCAGUGUAUAAAGUCAGAAAAUCUGCUGUCUCAACCACUGCCUGUUGCCAAGGAAGUACCCCAAGGCUCAAUCCUAGGCCCCACGCUCUUCUCAAUUUACAUCAACAACAUAGCUCAGGCAGUAGGAAGCUCUCUCAUCCAUUUCUAUGCAGAUAAUACAGUCUUAUACUCAGCUGGCCCCUCUGCGGAUUUUGUGUUAAAUGCUCUACAACAAAGCUUUCUUAGCGUCCAACAAGUGUCCUCUACCCUUAACCUUGUUCUGAACACCUGUUAUGUUUAGAGGUCGACCGAUUACUCGGAAUGGCCGAUUAAUUAGGGCCGAUUUUCAAGUUUUCAUAACAAUCGGUAAUCAGCAUUUUUGGACACCGAUUAUGGCUGAUUACAUUGCACUCCACGAGGAGACUGCGUGGCAGGCUGACUUCCUGUUACAUGAGUGCAGCAAGGAGCCAAGGUAAGCUGCUAGCUAGCAUUAAACUUAUCUUAUAAAAAACAAUCAAUCUUAACAUAAUCACUAGUUAACUACACAUGGUUGAUGAUAUUACUAGUUUAUCUAGCUUGUCCUGCGUUGCAUAUAAUCAAUGCGGUGCCUGUUAAUUUAUCAUUGAAUCACAGCCUACUUCGCCAAAUGGGUGAUGAUUUAACAAGCGCAUUCGCGAAAAAAACUCUGUCGUUGCACCAAUGUGUACCUAACCAUAAACAUCAAUGCCUUUCUUAAAAUCAAUACACACGUAUAUAUUUUUAAACCUGCAUAUUUAGUUAAUAUUGCCUGCUAACAUUAAUUUAUUUUAACUAGGGAAAUUGUGUCACUUCUCUUGCGUUCUGUGCAAGCAGAGUCAGGAAAUAUGCAGCAGUUUGGGCUGCCUGGCUCGUUGCGAACUGUGUGAAGACCAUUUCUUCCUAACAAAGACUGUAAUUAAUUUGCCAGAAUUGUACAUAAUUAUGACAUAACAUUGAAGGUUGUGCAAUGUAACAGCAAUAUUUAGGGACUUAGGGAUGCCACCCGUUAGAUAAAAUACGGAACGGUUCCGUAUUUUAC